rnacentral:rRNA from 1 species
AUUGAACGCUGGCGGCGUGCCUAACACAUGCAAGUCGAGCGGUAACAGGUGUAGCAAUACAUGCUGACGAGCGGCGGACGGGUGAGUAACGCUUGGGAAUCUGCCUGUUAGUGGGGGACAACCCGGGGAAACUCGGGCUAAUACCGCAUACGCACUACGGUGGAAAGCCGGGGACCGCAAGGCCUGGCGCUAACAGAUGAGCCCAAGUCGGAUUAGCUAGUUGGUAGGGUAACGGCCUACCAAGGCGACGAUCCGUAACUGGUCUGAGAGGACGACCAGUCACACCGGAACUGAGACACGGUCCGGACUCCUACGGGAGGCAGCAGUGGGGAAUAUUGGACAAUGGGCGAAAGCCUGAUCCAGCGACGCCGCGUGGGGAUGAAGGCCUUCGGUUGUAA